CAGAUAGAAUAGAGCCAGAUAGAAUAGAGCCAGAUAGAGUAGAGCCAGAUAGAAUAGAGCCAGAUAGAAUAGUCAUAUGGAAAGAGACAGAUAGAGUAGAGACAGAUAGAGUAGAGACAGAUAGAAUAGUCAUAUGGAAAGAGACAGAUAGAAUAGUCAUAUGGAAAGAGACAGAUAGAGUAGAGACAAAGACAGAUAGAAUUCAGCCAGAUCGAAUAGAGCCAGAUAGAGUAGAGCCAGAUGGAGUAGAGACAGAUGGAGUAGAGACAGAUGGAGUAGUGCCAGAUAGAAUAGAGCCAGAUGGAGUAGAGACAGAUGGAGUAGAGACAGAUGGAGUGGAGCCAGAUGGAGUGGAGCCAGAUGGAGUAGAGACAGAUGGAGUGGAG
ensembl:lncRNA